ACAGAUCAGAAAUGUUGAGGCGGGAAUGUGUACCGCCAUCUCCGUCAAAGCUGAUUUUUCCUUUCACAUCUUCUUCGGGGAAUGGUUGCCUCACAUUCAGA